UGCUGGAGCGCGGGCCCCCACGGGCCCACGGGGAGGCGAAGGGCAGAAGCGGGGGCCUUUCGAGCCAGGCUGAGCCUGAGUGCAAGCUCUGUCCCUCAAGCUCAGGACUAGGCGCUUUUGGGCGCAAAGCGAGUCGCCCACAGAACUCGCGCGCUGGAGGAGACCUGAGUCUGGGAGGGGAGAGAUUUGGAGAAACCGCAUCUCAGCUCCACGAAGGCAGUGGUUUUUGUCUGUUCUCUGCUGUAUUCCCAGUGCCUGAAAUGUGGUUGGCAGGAAACUUUCGUUUUGGCCACACGUGAACGUGUGGGCACACAGGCGUGUGUGUGCGUCUCUGUGUGUGCAUGCACUGGAUCUUUAUGCAAAGCUCUUCACCUGCUCCUGCUGCCUCCCUCCUGAUCAGCAUCCAGACUCACCCUGUGUCUGUACCUGUGGUGGCUGAUGAUGGCCCUUAAAGAUCCCUGGAACCUGCAAAUGGUGCCUUAUAUGGAAAAGGGGUCUUUGCAGAUGUGAUUAAGUUAAGGCUUUUGAGAUGGGGAGUUCACCCUGGAUUAUCCAGGUGGGUCCAAUGUAAUCACAGCAUCUUUACAAGAGAGAGACAGAGGGAUAUUCGACACAGGCAGGAGAAGGUGACAUGAACACAGAGGCAGAGAUUGGAGUGAUGUGCCUGCAAGCGUAGGAAUGCUGACCACCAUCAGAAUCCAGCCACCAGCAUUCUCCCCUGGAGCUUCUGGAGGGAGCACAGCCUUGAUGACACCUUGAUUUCUGCCCAGUAACACAGAUGUUGGAUUUCUGCCUU